rnacentral:lncRNA from 1 species
CAGUGUUUACCCUGGCAAUAGUAUUUCAGGAUAAAAUAUAUUACAAAGGUAUAUAUUUUAAAAAUCAGGAAAUGGCACAAACAGCAAAAAGGCGUAAUGCACAUGAAUAACAGAAAAAAGGUCAUACAACGAUUUCCAUUAGUGUUUAAUUGAUCGAUUAUCGUAAGAAGAACUAAGGGUAAGUGACCAUAUUUCGAUAAUCCAGUCACCAUUGUGGGGAUCAAUGUGGCGUGUAUCAACAAGAAUUUAAACCUUUUUCUUAUGAUUCGACAC